CAUCGCGGUGGCGGAGCGUCGUUUGCGACGCCCAACACACAAAACAAGCGGUGAGUGCUUUGGGGUGGGGUGACUGCGUACCUUUUGUAUAAUGGGUCAGCGACUUAUAUUCUGUAGCAAGGUUAACCGUAUAGGGGAGCCGAAGGGAAACCGAGUCUUAACUGGGCGUUAAGUUGCAGGGUAUAGACCCGAAACCCGGUGAUCUAGCCAUGGGCAGGUUGAAGGUUGGGUAACACUAACUGGAGGACCGAACCGACUAAUGUUGAAAAAUUAGCGGAUGACUUGUGGCUGGGGGUGAAAGGCCAAUCAAACCGGGAGAUAGCUGGUUCUCCCCGAAAGCUAUUUAGGUAGCGCCUCGUGAACUCAUCUUCGGGGGUAGAGCACUGUUUCGGCUAGGGGGUCAUCCCGACUUACCAACCCGAUGCAAACUGCGAAUACCGAAGAAUGUUAUCACGGGAGACACACGGCGGGUGCUAACGUCCGUCGUGAAGAGGGAAACAACCCAGACCGCCAGCUAAGGUCCCAAAGUCACAGUUAAGUGGGAAACGAUGUGGGAAGGCUCAGACAGCCAGGAUGUUGGCUUAGAAGCAGCCAUCAUUUAAAGAAAGCGUAAUAGCUCACUGGUCGAGUCGGCCUGCGCGGAAGAUGUAACGGGGCUAAACUGUGCACCGAAGCUGCGGCAGCGACGCUUAUGCGUUGUUGGGUAGGGGAGCGUUCUGUAAGCCUGCGAAGGUGUCCUGUGAGGGAUGCUGGAGGUAUCAGAAGUGCGAAUGCUGACAUAAGUAACGAUAAUGCGGGUGAAAAGCCCGCUCGCCGGAAGACCAAGGGUUCCUGUCCAACGUUAAUCGGGGCAGGGUGAGUCGACCCCUAAGGCGAGGCCGAAAGGCGUAGUCGAUGGGAAACGGGUUAAUAUUCCCGUACUUGGUGUUACUGCGAAGGGGGGACGGAGAAGGCUAUGUUGGCCGGGCGACGGUUGUCCCGGUUUAAGCGUGUAGGCUGGUUUUCCAGGCAAAUCCGGAAAAUCAAG
rnacentral:rRNA from 1 species